UACGAAGGGUGCAAGCGUUAAUCGGAAUUACUGGGCGUAAAGCGCGCGUAGGUGGUUCGUUAAGUUGGAUGUGAAAGCCCCGGGCUCAACCUGGGAACUGCAUCCAAAACUGGCGAGCUAGAGUAUGGCAGAGGGUGGUGGAAUUUCCUGUGUAGCGGUGAAAUGCGUAGAUAUAGGAAGGAACACCAGUGGCGAAGGCGACCACCUGGGCUAAUACUGACACUGAGGUGCGAAAGCGUGGGGAGCAAACAGGAUUAGAAACCCCCGUAGUCC
rnacentral:rRNA from 1 species